rnacentral:rRNA from 1 species
GACGAACGCUGGCGGCGUGCUUAACACAUGCAAGUCGAGCGGUAAGGCCCUUUCGGGGUACGACGAGCGGCGAACGGGUGAGUAACACGUGGGUGGACCUCGCCCUCCAGCUCUGGGAGUAAGCCUGGGAAACCGGGGUACGUAAUAACUGGAUAUGACUCCAUGACGCAUGUUGUGGGGUGGAAAGCCUUGUGCGGCUGAGGAU